rnacentral:misc_RNA from 1 species
GUAUUAACUUCAAACAACAUGGUGACUAUUCAAUACAAGGUUCUUGUAUAUACAUACUAUACAUACAACCCAAACCUGAAAGCAAAAAAGAACAGCCACAAAACUAUGAACUUGUCUAAGCAGGAUUAACAUGAAGAGUCCUAGAUUUCCUUGUAGUGAAGACGGGGAGCUAAACAAAAUAUGUGCACAUGAAACACAACAAUUAACCACGACUACACUCUACACUUCAAGAAGAGAAGCCAGCUUCCAUUGCACGAUAUAUUGAAGCAGUGUCAAAUCGGAAGUUUCUGAAGCUUUUGCCAGGACCUGUGUCCUGGGGACGUGCAUCAACUGCAGGUUUGUUCAAUUGAAUCUCAGCUAAAACUGAGCUGCUUCCGGUGGAACUAUUUUUUGCAUUCCACACACUUAAUCCUCUUGAAGGUCUAUCAAAUCUAGGAGCUACAGGAGGCUGAUGUGCUGAAAUCCAAGAUCUCAAAGAUGAUAAAAAUGGAGAAACCAUGUAGAGCUUGAGUCCAGUCAUCCCACGAGAUAUGAUUUCGUUAGUUGCUGGUUGAAGUUCAUCCAGUCUUUGCCAUGCAAUUUCACUAAUUUCUUUUUUGGUUUGUGGGGCAAAUGAUGCAUCCUCUUUCACUCCCGCUAUUAUGUAAAGCCGCACUCUUUGCUGUCCAAAAGUCAUUUCAAGGUAUUGCUCUUUCUGAAGAAGUUUUGAGACAUCAAAUCCUGUUUCCUCCAAGACUUCUCUAACUGCACAUGAGUGGUCCUCUUCAUCCUUGUUCUUUUUCCCACGUGGAAAACUCCAACUUGAACCCUUCCAUCCCUUUACUAGCAAGCACCGCUCAAAAGUCUCAUCAAGG